GAGAAAGGAUCAUAGUUACCUUGAGACGGUGAGUGAAAGGAGAAACGGAAGGAGAUGCAGCAGAGAGCACCGCGGAAGCCAUCUGAAGGUUUGAAAGAAAUGAGAUAAAUCUGUGCAGGGCGGCAGCUACAGAAGGAAAGGAAAAAUAAAAUUGAUUGAUUCUCCGGACAGAUCACAGAAGUAAUGAGAUUUCGUUACAGAUCAAGAAUCCAGACAGGACAAUAGAAUUGGGAAGGCAACAGGGAAGCGAAAGAGAAGAAAGAAGAUUAUGGUAGAGAAAGAGCAGACGAGGAGAUUACCAGCGACUGCGUGAGUGUUUCUUUUCCUCGCUCUCUCUAUAGUGUUUUGGGAAAUGGCGAUGACUAGUGAUGAGCUGUUGCUGGUUGUUGAGCUCUAGCUGUUAGCUUGAAACUAAAAAUGUAAAAAAGGAGGCGGAAAAUAUGAUGUUGAUUAGAAAUGGGCGAU
rnacentral:lncRNA from 1 species